CCGCCUGGGGAGUACGGCCGCAAGGUUAAAACUCAAAUGAAUUGACGGGGGCCCGCACAAGCGGUGGAGCAUGUGGUUUAAUUCGAUGCAACGCGAAGAACCUUACCUGGUCUUGACAUCCACAGAAGAAUCCAGAGAUGGAUUUGUGCCUUCGGGAACUGUGAGACAGGUGCUGCAUGGCUGUCGUCAGCUCGUGUUGUGAAAUGUUGGGUUAAGUCCCGCAACGAGCGCAACCCUUAUCCUUUGUUGCCAGCGGUUAGGCCGGGAACUCAAAGGAGACUGCCAGUGAUAAACUGGAGGAAGGUGGGGAUGACGUCAAGUCAUCAUGGCCCUUACGACCAGGGCUACACACGUGCUACAAUGGCGCAUACAAAGAGAAGCGACCUCGCGAGAGCAAGCGGACCUCAUAAAGUGCGUCGUAGUCCGGAUUGGAGUCUGCAACUCGACUCCAUGAAGUCGGAAUCGCUAGUAAUCGUGGAUCAGAAUGCCACGGUGAAUACGUUCCCGGGCCUUGUACACACCGCCCGUCACACCAUGGGAGUGGGUUGCAAAAGAAGUAGGUAGCUUAACCUUCGGGAGGGCGCUUACCACUUUGUGAUUCAUGACUGGGGUGAAGUCGUAACAAGGUAACCGUAGGGGAACCUGCGGUUGGAUCACCUCCUUACCUUAAAGAA
rnacentral:rRNA from 4 species